rfam:Puccinia triticina 1-1 BBBD Race 1 supercont2.116, whole genome shotgun sequence.
UCCGAGUUAGUAUAUCGGCUAGUAUAUCCGCCUUUCACCACAGAGGCGCGCGGAGGAGACGGGUUCGAUUCCCGUACUCGGAA